GGAGACUUCACUAGUCUCCUUAGUGUCUUAUCAUUUAGGGGGGGUGGAGACUUCACUAGUCUCCUUGGUGUCUUAUCAUUUAGGGGGGUGGAGACUUCACUAGUCUCCUUAGUGUCUUAUCAUUUAGGGGUAGUGGAGACUUCACUAGUCUCCUUAGUGUCUUAUCAUUUAGGGGGGUGGAGACUUCACUAGUCUCCUUAGUGUCUUAUCAUUUAGGGGUAGUGGAGACUUCACUAGUCUCCUUAGUAUCUUAUCAUUUAGGGGGUGGAGACUUCACUAGUCUCCUUAGUGUCUUAUCAUUUAGGGGGUGGAGACUUCACUAGUCUCCUUAGUGUCUUAUCAUUUAGGGGUAGUGGAGACUUCACUAGUCUCCUUAGUGUCUUAUCAUUUAGGGGUAGUGGAGACUUCACUAGUCUCCUUAGUGUCUUAUCAUUUAGGGGUAGUGGAGACUUCACUAGUCUCCUUAGUGUCUUAUCAUUUAGGGGUAGUGGAGACUUCACUAGUCUCCUUAGUGUCUUAUCAUUUAGGGGGUGGAGACUUCACUAGUCUCCUUAGUGUCUUAUCAUUUAGGGGUGUGGAGACUUCACUAGUCUCCUUAGUGUCUUAUCAUAUAGGGGGGUGGAGACUUCACUAGUCUCCUUAGUAUCUUAUCUCAUACAUCUCUCUCCAGAACCUAAUCCAGCAUCUGUCACAAUGAAGUGUUCAUAAGUCUGAGAGAGAGAGGCUUAUUUCAGUGACAGGGAUGUCUGUGGCUGACAUGGAUGUUACAAUGAUAGGAGUGGAGAGUAAGAGAUGUAUGGUAUCUUCUGGUCUGUUCAUGGACAUACUGUUUACUAUGAUGACCCAGAGCUGGAC
rnacentral:lncRNA from 1 species